rnacentral:lncRNA from 7 species
AUCUACUUCCAGAGGACUGGGGAGCUUAUUUACUGAAUCAUACAGCAAUGUAUCGUUCAGAUAAGUUAGCAUUUGGUCUGGAAAAUUGUGAAAUACGAUAUUUCAACACUUCUCCUCUCCUGCCAAGGGAGCUUCGGAAUCACAGAAGACAGUUUAUUUUGAACAUAUGGAAAAGAUGAGGAAUGUCCUCCCAGAGAUAACCAUCUCCAACCUGCAGUUGACAGGAUCUUCAGACCUUCUCCAGCUAUUAGACGUUACUUUUGUACAUUAGGACAGCGGGAGUCACGUGAGGAGCAACCAUACCUUUAACACCCAUUUCUCUGGCUCAUGAGGACACAGUGCAUCACCAACCAGUGAGCAAGACAGAUCUGAGGAGAUUUUCCAAGUACUUGAUGGCAGCCUUAAGUUAAAUUAAUGCAUCUGAAGGAAGCAAAAGUGUCUCAUUACAAAAGUAAGUAAUCACAGGGAUACCUGCUUUGGCUGUUAGGUAUAAAUCAUAACUAAUAAGUGGAGAAAGUGCUUUUCCCUCUUUUACGAAGUGAUGGAGCACAAGUUGUUCCCCAGGUUUUUACAGAAUGGCACAUAUCCAUCCUCCUUAACACUAAUGAUGACUUUGACAUUGCAUUCAUUUGAUAUGAGACCUCAUCUAAGAGCGUCAAAGGAGUUGAUUGACUUAAGUCAGCUGGAAAACAGCCAGAAGAAGUAGCUGCAGACUAUAUAGCACUGGGACAACCUACUUUCAAAUGAAAUUUGUCACCCCUGUUUAAAAUGCUUGGCAACACCACAGAACAGUUAAAGACUAAAAGGUAUGGCCAACAUAACCAAAUGAUGCUGCACAGAUAAGCACGGCUGGCUGAAUUGGUUGGCCUCAGUUUCUCAAGACCAGACUGUUUUUGCCCAAGGAAAAGUAGCCAGGACCUCCAACAGAAGGCUCAAGAAGAAGGCAGAACCAGAACAUCACAUCCCUCACUAAUGAUGUGCCCAGCCAGCUACUAGUUCAACACUGACUCAGAAGGAAGAAAAAUCACAUACUGAGUAAUCAGCUCCACAUCCUGAAGAAUGUAAGUUUAUAGAUCCUUUGAGAUUUCUCUGGAACUUUUUUUGCUCACUUUUCUGAAGCAUCACUACCUGAGGAACUGUAUGUCUAAGUGUCACAUGGCCUGCAGGCAAGCAGAUGAAGGACAGUACGAGGACUUGAGUCCAUCCUGCAGCAGCAUCCACAGGGUAUGAUGAAAGUCCUGAAGUAGAAUAGCCGAAGUUGGCUAGCAAUUCUGAAGCUGGGAUUUUUAACCAUGGAAGAGGUGGGUCCCAGCACAGACCUGGAGAAGAAGAGGUCUGGAGAACACUAUUUGCCACAGUGACAGCACAGAUGUUACAAUCAUGGAGCCAUAGAAUACCCAAAAUUAGAGAGGAAAUACAAGGCUCGUCGAGUCCAACAUUCAUGCUUUUUCUCAGGCUGAUUGCCUUCCUUUUCCUUCUCCUGCAUCCUUCUCUGAUCAUCUCAUCGUUACUACAAUACCUGGUGGCCAGAGAACACCCAACACUUUCCCACCUUGCAAAAUGAAUAUUGGCUGGGUUGGGGCUUUUUGGUAAAUAAAAACAGCGGGUCUCAGUGUCACAUUUACAUCAAACCAAAUUCUUCCCACUACAGGAAGCCAUAGUAAAUGGGCAUAUCAUAUAGUAAAUGUGUCUUCAUUUUUAUCUUUCAGAGUGCCAUGGAAAAGGUUGGAUAGUUAAAUAGAUGAGCUCUGAAUACUUCUUUCCCUGUAAGAAUUAAUGACCAUACAUAAAUGAAAGUAAGCUGAGUUGUAUAGCAAAGAUUGUAAAUCUUGAAAUUCUUUCUUUAAAACUUUGGGUCACACACUUGAUGGACCUCUUGCUGUAUGGUCCAUAGGUAGUUUUGGGAACAUCUGUUAUCUCCCAGGAUCUUCACGGCUCCGUAAUCAAAGUCAAGUGCUGUUUUAAGAAAUAUCUACCUAUGAAGCAACUGUAAAACUGAUGCAGUUUCCUGUGCAGUGUGCAAAUACAGUUUAUUAAAUUCUCAAAAUACAUCAUUAAGUUAUUUUCCCAUGGGCCUCCUAGAUGAUGCCAUCAUUAUUAUUAUAUAUUUGCAUCGCAUUUAUGUAUAGAGGGCUGUCAGCCCCACCAGCAUGCAGUUUCCUGCUGCCAUGGCGUCCUGAUGUCAGGCCAGGUCUUAGGUUGGACACUGCCUUUAAAUUUUUGUUUCUCUGAAAACUUUGUGCUACUGAGCUCUAUGUAGAAAUUGAAAAAUUUUGACAGGAUAAAGGAAUUUCUCUCUCUU